rnacentral:rRNA from 1 species
GUGAGGAAUAUUGCGCAAUGGAGGCAACUCUGACGCAGCCAUGCCGCGUGCAGGAAGAAGGCGCUACGCGUUGUAAACUGCUUUUAACCGGGAAGAAACCCCAGGACGUGUCCUGGGUUGACGGUACCGGAGGAAUAAGCACCGGCUAACUUCGUGCCAGCAGCCGCGGUAAUACGAAGGGUGCAAGCGUUAUCCGGAUUCAUUGGGUUUAAAGGGUGCGUAGGCGGAGCGUUAAGUCAGUGGUGAAAUCCUGCAGCUUAACUGUAGACUUGCCAUUGAUACUGGCGCUCUUGAGUGCGCUUGAAGUGGGCGGAAUGUUCCGUGUAGCGGUGAAAUGCUUAGAUAUGGCACAGAACACCAAUUGCGAAGGCAGCUCACUAAGGCGAUACUGACGCUGAGGCACGAAAGCGUGGGGAUCGAACAGGAUUAGAAACCCGUGUAGUCC